AAUCAUAGAAGAGUGGCGGGCGAGGAGGCGGGCAAGGAGGCGGUUCGGAGGGGGUCGCCCGACCGUCCGACUCCGGUUCAGUCGACCGUCCGACUGCGGUUCAGUCGACCGUCCGACUGCGGUUCAGUCGACCGUCCGACUGCGGUUCAGUCGACCGUCCGACUGCGGUCAGUCGACCGUCCGACUCCGGUUCAGUCGACCGCCCGACUGCGGUUCAGUCGACCGCCCGACUGCGGUUCAGUCGACCGUCCGACUGCGGUUCAGUCGACCGCCCGACUGCGGUUCAGUCGACCGUCCGACUCCGGUUCAGUCGACCGUCCGACCCCGGUUCGGUGGCAUUUGGUCAACCGUCCGACCUCGGUUCGGCGGCGGUUCGGUCGACCGUCCGACUGCGGUUCGGCGGCGGUCCGUCCCCUCAGUUCAACACCGUGGAGUUGGUGGAGCGGUCGACCGUCCAGCAGACUAACCUGCACUGAUCAACACGCACGCCGGGAGGAUUGCUCGGAAUCAAACCUGCAACGGAAGCAUGACGGCGUCUCGCCCUGUGAGGAGCUGGAGGUCGAGGAAACUCAAGCUGAUGGAUGGGGGCAGAAAUCAAACCUUCUGGGCUCCACAGACAGACACAUGUCCAUGUGUCCAAAGAACAGAGAAAGUCAGUCAGGAGCUGAGGGUCCGACAGGUCCGAUGGGCGGUAAAGUGCAAGAUAUGGGGGGCGGGGGGGUACAAAAAACACCAACAUGCAAACUCCACAACUUUUGCAUGCCUUAUUUCUUAUUCUCUUUAGAAUUAUAAAAACACAACGAUGGGAGGGGUCGGCUGGAGGGAAGAGGGGCGCCCCGACCCUCGCUGUCUUCUUUUGCAAACAACACACAGCAAGCGGACGGGGGGGGGCGAAACACUCAUACAGACUCACUUUGCCAAGCUAAUUCACAGAGCGGAAAGCCUUUCUGCUGUAAUGGAUCGACUUCUGAUCGGGCGGGGGCACAGUCAAAAAACUGACCUGCACUGGAGUCCCCGCCCACAGUCACCGCCCCUGAACUUCUGAAAACGUCAGGACCAAUGAAACGUCAGUGAAAGAGGAACGCAGACGAUGACCUCACGGCGGCUGGUCUCUGACACGCUUGGGACGCGCCGUCGGGGAGGGACGUGGGCGGGGCCGAGCUUUGGUGGACACGGAGUAUUUUUGGCUUUACGGGACACGAAUGGAAAGAACUCCUCUCCUCCUAAACUUGAAGCUAAAACACUUUCAUCUAAACAGCAACUAGACAUCUAAAGCUAACGGCGCUACUCGCUACGACUCCAGAGAAAAUACCGACGCUACACUAAACCAGGACGACCGCUACAGAUUCAUCAAAAAAAGCCUCGCGACGAGUGAGUUCACGCUGGUCUCAACGGAGGUGUGAACCUCCGUAUCACACGACCUCUGACCCGGAGCACCGGUUUGUGGAGGUGAGACUCGGGACGUCCCACACGGAGCGGUUCACGUCUCUGAUGGUUUCUGGUUCACCUGCUCUGAUGUUUGAGUGGAGACGUUUGUCUGAACUUCACGUCGUCUUCAACGAGUCAAACAUGCAUUUCACAACAUUGAAACUUUUGUCUCAGUUAGCCUGGCUGAGCUCAUGUGCUUCUUCAGGUUAGCAUGGAUGCUACCGCUAGUGUCCAGAUGAUCUUCUUACUAUCCUUUGAAUUCAAACGUCUUGUUUUUCCAGCGCUGCCUUGAACAAACAGAAGGAGUUUUUUACAGUAAAGAGACAGAAAACGCGUGAAAGCUCUUCAAUGAGCGUCUACACAAACUACACGAU
ensembl:lncRNA